rnacentral:rRNA from 1 species
AACGAACGCUGGCGGCAGGCUUAACACAUGCAAGUCGAACGCCCCGCAAGGGGAGUGGCAGACGGGUGAGUAACGCGUGGGAACAUACCCUUUUCUACGGAAUAGCUCUGGGAAACUGGAAUUAAUACCGUAUACGCCCUACGGGGGAAAGAUUUAUCGGGGAAGGAUUGGCCCGCGUUGGAUUAGCUAGAUGGUGGGGUAAAGGCCUACCAAGGCGACGAUCCAUAGCCGGUCUGAGAGGAUGAUCAGCCACAUUGGGACUGAGACACGGCCCAAACUCCUACGGGAGGCAGCAGUGGGGAAUAUUGGACAAUGGGCGCAAGCCUGAUCCAGCCAUGCCGCGUGAGUGAUGAAGGCCUUAGGGUUGUAAAGCUCUUUCACCGAUGAAGAUAAUGACGGUAGUCGGAGAAGAAGCCCCGGCUAACUUCGUGCCAGCCGCCGCGGUAA